rnacentral:tRNA from 1 species
AGUGAGCUCGAAUGUGUUCAUUACCGAUUUGAAAUCGGUUAAUUUUAUGUUAAAUCAUAAAGCUCGCUG